UGAAGGACGAGGAAGACGAUGUCCCCACUAGUCCUAGCAUUAUUAAUGAUCCCAGUGAACAAGAUUAGACACGAGAAGGUGUUUCUUUCUCCAGGGUAGCGUACCCCACCGCUGACGAGUUGUUGCGACGCCUCUUUAUCGAAGCUCGACCGACGUUACUAUUUGGUAGCGUGGCGUUGGCGGCGGGCUUCAGUCAUCCGGUAGACCAUGGCGACAAGGCUUCGAGAAAACCAACCGGCGGGACGCUUCGACAAUUGGACUUCGUCGCUAUGGAAAAUUAUGAAUGUUCUCUCGCGUGAUGUCACGGCGUAAUAUACGCCAUUGGUUACCCGCUGGUUGAAGAGAAAUAUUUUUCAGGCACCUUUUGUGAAGACCUAAUGCACCAUCCAUCAGCAACUUCUUUAUUGAUAGCACCGACUUCAAUAAAUGAAGU